CUCACCAUAAAUGGGGCCAAAUGGGUCACCAACAGCCUUGGCACAGGAGAGCCUUGUGGAAAUUCUUCUGUGUGAGCUGUCUGAGAGCCAUCUCCAGUCAUCUGGCUCAGGGCCCCACCCCAGCUAGCUCAACAGCUCUGAUCUUUGGCAAGUCAUGCAAUUCCAAUGCAAUCGUCUUGCUUGCCAAAACUGCUAUGCCCUUUCUUAGUGAAGUUGAAAUGCUGAGCGCUUCUCCCUCAGAAUAAUAUAAACUCCUUUCUCUUUGUGUAAUUACUGGAAGGAAUGUGGAAUGCAGAAAAACAACCCCAGCAUUGCAGGGUCUCUCGCUGAACCUGGAGCUUACCGAUUCAGCUAGGCUGACCAGCGAGCAAACCCUAGGGAUUCUCCUGCCUCCAUCGCUUCAGUUCUGGAAUUAUAGAGUCCCUGGUAUGUAAUAGAUGUUCGAUACAUGGGAGCCGAGUUCUCUGCUGUUAUUGGCGAUGGUGAUGGUGUGGUUAGUGGUUCAUUCAUCAGUCUCAGCACACUGCAGAUACGGAUCAACAGAAACCCCCUCCAUCCUCCUGCUGUGUCCAUGAAUGCAGAGAAAACUAAUGAGCAGUUGGAGCUAUUGAGGAACUUCCUGUGGUCCUUGGAGAGGUACCUGUAUGUCUUAUUCUUCCCUUCUGUUAAGUCAAGGCAGGUCACUGAUUUUACUGACCCUCUGUGAUGGCUGCUAUAUUGGUUACUUUUCUCAUUGCUGGGGCAAAAUAUUCUAUUAAAAACAACUUAAAGAAA